AAAAAAGCCAUGCCGAAGACAGCAGGUGCCCAAAAGGCGUAAAGUGCAAACUGCCUGCCGAGGAGAGAGAAGUUAAAAGUGAAUGCUUUGAUUUUCUGUUCUCCGGCAUAUCCGGAGAUUUUUUAUC
rnacentral:sRNA from 1 species